rnacentral:lncRNA from 1 species
UGACAGCGCGGCGAGAGCUCCCUGAGUCACGGUGGUCGCCGGUGAGUAACUCCGGCUGGGCCCGGGAGAGGGUGCCACGUAUGAGUCAUCCUUUUCCCGGCGUUAUCCAUCCCUCACCGUGCAUGAAUCCGGGCGGCGGCGGCACGAAUUUUGACGCGGGGAGGUCACCGGCGGUGGAGGUUUGUCACGCUGGCGAUCAAAUCUGUUCGGGUUACUGUACCAUCAGAACACCCAUAUCAGAGCACCUGACAGCGUGUUUUGCAGGGUUAUAUACUCCCAAUUUUGUGCAGCAACUCGAUUGCCUUUCUCAAACAAAAUUGUAGAGCAAUGUACCAUCUACAAUUCGACUAUAGGACUUGAACACAUUUGAGCACUGGAUCAUGCUCGAAUUUGAGCUGAAAGUUGAUGUCAGUCAUCUGCUAUUCUGAAUUUCAGAUCAAACAGCCUGACAGCCAGUUCUUGAUUGGGUUUUUCUCUAAAUUUCUCAUAACAACUAAGCUCACACUCUUUAGCAAAGUUGUUCUCCUAUAAUUGGUCUUCAACUUUGAUGUGGCGACCUAGGGCAAAAACCCUUUUGUUUAGAAGUUACAAGGUCUCAAAGAUGGGCACAAUACACUGAAUUUCAGACUUAAUCAAAAGAGUUCAAAUAGGGCUCUUUUGCAAAUAAGUCCAAAACUCAGGGUUUGGCUUUCAAGUCCACAUAUUUGUGAACCCAAGGACUUAAGAAACCUAUUUGGCUUGGUUUUUGCACUUUAACCCAAAAGUGGGCUAAUUUUGCACAUAGGCCCCUAGGGUUUAGUUUUAGGGUUUUCCAGGGUUCCAAUUAGGGUUUCUGGUAUCCCAGGGGUAUAAAUGUGACUCAAGUUUAUUUUUGGGGUCAUUUUAUGACUUUUACCCUAAAGCUUUUAGGUUUUCUCAACUCGGAUUAAGUUUUACCCCAUUAAUCCAUAUUUAGGGUAGAGUCCUUUAACCAGGGUUCUAUUUGCAAAACACUAAAACAAUACAACUUGUUUGAAAUUUUUGCCUAGUGAAUGCACUCUAGGUGUGUCAAACAUAUGCAAUGCCAAUGCUUAUGAUGCCAUGCUCAAGUUUUAGUUAUAGUAACACCAGGGGUGUUACAUCCUUCCCCCCAUAAAAGAAUCUCGUCCCGAGAUUAAAAAUCCUAGGGUAAGUAAUGGUAAAGGAAACGCAUCACAUUUUUAUUUCCUUAUUUUUGGUACAAGACAGGGGUGAUGUGGGGGUUACUUCUUUAUUACAACAGCUAUACAGGCUUUACAAUUUACAUGAGGCUAAAAAGCCUGGAAAAUUCUUAUCUAAGAAGUCUUGGGUUUCCCAUGUAGCCUCAUCUUCCGAAUGCUGGUUCCAUUGUAUCUUGUAGAACUUGAGAGUCUUUCUUCGGGUGACCCUGUCCUUUUGAUCCAGAACUCGAAUAGGAUGUUCCGAGUAUGUUAAAUCUGGUUCCAGGACAACAUCAGUCACUUCAACGGUUCGAUCAGGAACCCUAAGACACUUUUUCAAUUGUGACACGUGGAACACAUUAUGCACAGCAGACAAUGUUUCGGGGAGCUGAAGUCGAUACGCCACUGGCCCAUAUCUUUCCAGAAUAAGAAAAGGACCAAUAUAUCGUGGUGCAAGUUUUCCUUUAACUCCGAAACGCGAUACACCCUUCAUUGGUGAGACCUUCAAGUAGACAUAGUCUCCUUCCAGGAAAUAUAAGGGCAUUCGCCGUUUGUCUGCAUAACUCUUUUGCCGUGCUUGAGCUUUCUUCAUAUUAUGGAUAAUUCUCUGAACCUUUUCUUCAACCUCUUUCACCAUAUCAGGUCUAAAGAAGUAUCUUUCUCCAGGUUCAGACCAAUUUAGCGGAGUCCGACACCGUCGUCCAUAUAAAGCUUCAAAGGGUGCCAUCUUAAUACUUUCUUGAUAACUAUUAUUGUAUGAAAACUCCGCCAAAGGUAAACAUUCAUCCCAUUUUAGUGAGAAAUCCAGGACACAUGCCCGUAGCAUAUCUUCAAGUAUUUGGUUCACUCUCUCAGUUUGUCCACUGGUUUGAGGAUGAUAGGCUGAACUGUGGAGCAGUUUAGUACCCAGGGAUUUAUAAAGUUCUUUCCAGAAUUUGGAUACGGAUUGAGGUCCACGAUCCGACACUAUGGUUUUCGGAACACCAUGCAGACUAAGAAUACGAGCAAUGUAUAAUUGGGCAUAGACAAUAACUGGGUGGUCUGUCUUGACUGGCAAAAAAUGAGUAAUUUUCGUAAGCCGAUCAACAAUAACCCAGAUAGAGUCAUACCCUUUUGUAGUCCUGGUUAAUCCCACAAUGAAGUCCAUACUAAUGUCUUCCCAUUUCCACGUUGGUAUUGGUAGAGACUGUAGUGGACCAGCAGUUUUCAUGUGUAUGGCCUUGACAUGUUUACAAGUGUCACAUCUAGCCACAUAGUAUGCAAUUUCAAUUUGCAUCUUUGCCCACCAGAAGAACACAUAAGGUUCUAUGUGUGCAACUUGCUUCUUUUGAUGACACUGUACUAUCUGAGUCUGUUGGGUGGCAAUUAUGCAACUUUACCCAAAUAGAAUCAGAUGCACCAUCUUGGGUAAAACACACAAAAGGAGGUUUACCAACAAGUGGUUACAGUGAGUUCAUAGCACACGAGACGAGUGUGAAUGUCGAGUAACAUCACGGUCAACUCGUGUUAGCUAGGGAAUCCAAAUUCACGAAAGGUGAUAUUGAUUCAAGAAAAAUCACCAGUGGAGGGAUCUAAAAAUGCGGACUUUGCAACUAGUCCAUUUUAUCGGGCACUAGACAUGGCUUGACCCAAUCACUUAUGCUGGAAAAGCAUACAUGAGGCAAUCGAGGCACGACUAGAGCGAUGGUUAGGUGAUUAUUGACCGACUUAAUCUCGAUUUUUGAAAAUUCUUCCUUAAGAGGGGUUGUACAAAAGUGAGCUUAGACAACUCGAUAAAACGAUCUCUAAACUCAACCUUCGUUCACCAGGCAGUUGCACGUUAGUGAAACCAACUUGUUGAGCUACUUUUGACAUUGAGCAAGUCCUCUCAGUACCAUCGGUAAGCCAAGGGUUGAGAGUUCACAUUUGCAAGCCAAAGGUCAUGCAUUUGGAUAGAAAUCCAUUUGGUCAGGUUGUUCAUCCGUUUCUUCAAGCGAGAUGAAUUAUCCACUUGGUUAGGGAAUACAUAGAUUAAUUAGGAAAGCGAAUGAACAAACUCCUGCAUUUCAGCAGCAGGGGAAAGUCAAUCUCCAAUUUGAGAGCUAAUUAGUUGUUUUCUUACACUAAAAAGCUCCAAGGCUUCACCUUUACACAAAGGAUGCAAAGGGAACUUGUGUGAGUAGUCACUACCAAGAUCAAAAGAAAUAAGACCACACAUGAAAGUGGUAUGCCCUUUUGAUCCAAUGGAAAUGACAGAUGUUGCUUGAUCUCUUCAAGACAACAUAGAGAGUGUUUCAAGGUAAGGUCAAUGGAAGACAACACAUCAGUGUAAUUCCAUAAUGGAUCAUGACUAGAGACCUCGAUACCGACGUGCGCCAAGCAGCAAAGUCCUGGGUGCACAUUCAUAAGAGGCUCUCAGCUUCGCCGCGGUACCAUAAGUUCUUAACCAUGUCACCAAUAGAUUGAGCAAGGGUGAUUAUACACAACGAAAUACUCCACUAAUAAAGAUGGUUACAAGUAAGGAGCCAAAUAGAUCAUGGCCCAAGGCAUGGCCAUAAUCUAAACUUGAUAGAAGGAGUACGAUGGGAGACUGUUAAUUCAGCCCAAUCAUAUUUCUAUGCCCAUCGCAGAGAUCACAAGGUCAAGGCUUAAGUUGGUAUGCCUUCGAUAGAUAUGAAGAAACCAAAGGCAUCAAAUUCAAGGAAAUGGUCGGACAUGUCUUUCCUAGGUUGGGUUAAUAAAGUAACCUGACAAUCCACAAGGAGAGGCCAACUAUACUAGAGACUUCAACCUGCAUCAGCUGAUCAAGAGAAUGGCUCUAAAAGGAGGCACGACUUGAGAUCCUUGUUUGAAGUCUAGGUAUACUCUAGGUCCGACAAAGAAAUUAUCUAGGCAUUUACUUGUACGGGUGUGGUCAUGGAAUGAUAACGGAAAAUUCGACUUUGGGUCGGGUCAUGGUUCACUAAAGCCUAAUUCUUGGGUUUAGGCAACCAAGUCAUCAACUCUCUAUUGGUCAUAACUCAACCUGAUGGCUCUCGGAUCAAGGUUGAGAAUUGCUUUUUGCUGGGCUAACCAGUUCAUGCCCAAGAUGACAUCUAUGUCUUGGCUUUUCAGAACAAUCAUAUUAGUAGGAAAGUCCUGUCUGGCCAAUGUUAAGGGCACCUGAUAAGCCACUUCUUUUCACUUUUGGUAGCUUUACUGUCGGGUGCAGAAGACCAUUCGUUAACCAACUUCAUAGAGGGAGGGGGCCUGAAAAGGUCCGGUUCACCAUCACGUGCUUCUCCCGCUACAUGAGAAGGUCCGGCUUCUGUCCCGACAAGAUUCGUAGGGACGUUCGGGUGCAGUUGUGAAUACAACACAUGCACUUCUUCAUGUAGUGCAUUACAACAGACCUGCAAGUUAUCCAUGGCUAAGCUAAGCUCCUCCACACGGGCUCGAGCUUUGGCUUCCUUAGCCCAGACGAGUAAACGAGAGUUAACCACCCAAUCGAGUGCUAAAUCUCGUUUCGCGAGUUGGUCUUGCAAGUAGCGGAUGGCUGCAUCCGCGAUCCAUAGAUCAUUCUUGUGACGGAGUUCUGACUGAAGCAGUUCGACUUGUGCUUCCAGAUCCCGAUAGGAUCGUUGCUACCACUGCUACUUUCUUCAUGUCUUGGAGUAAGUUAAUGGCAGGGUACGCCAAUGGGUUUAGUAGAUUUGUGCGCGGUCUUUCUGAUGCGCGACAACAUUUCUCUAAGGGGGAAAAUGUUAUUAGUAUGAUUCUUAGCAUGAUGCAUGUAUAAUUACAGAAUCAACCUUAGUCGAUUCAACCUUCUAUACGUUGCACUCUUCCUAUUUGGUCUUUAAGAUAGACUUCUUCAGAAUACUUAGGUAAGGAGAGAAAAGAAUUUCUAGGUAAGACUUUCGAAAAUUCUUUUGAAGAUGCCUCAUAAUAUCUGCCAAGAAGGGCUACGCUCCGAUACCAGCUGUGGCGGAACCUCCCAAGUAAUUAGGCCCACCUACAGUUGUCCUUGUCCAACGGACAUCAGACAACCCUGUAGGUGCCCCUGAACUACUUGACAAGUUCGGUAUCCUUCCUUACCUCACCAGGAACGUCUCACCCAUCUUGUAGACAUUACAGAACAUCGGAGAUAAAGAAAUGCGGAAGCGAAUUACAUAAUCUUACAUUUAUUUCAAAAGCAAGCUUGAGUUAGGUUAUUACAGACCAGUCUAAAAGUGAGUGCAUAGGAGUAAUAUUAUACAAACCAGGGGAGGCACAAGACUCCUCCCGAUAAGCUAAAAGCAAAAGAUCCUAAACGGAGGACCGAGUCCUCCCGCACUUCAGUCUUGAUUUUCUUCUUUCGGAACCACCUUGGCACAGAAGUAGCAAAAGUCUGCUACUUCCUCACCUAAAAACAACAAAGGGAUAAACCCUGAGUAUGGAAUACUCAGCAAGUCUUACCCGACUAAGAAAAAGACUCUCAAGGGUAUGCUGGUUAUGUGGGAGUCAAGGUAAGGCUUUUCAAUAUUCAAAGACUCUGUUUUGCAGAAAUGCUUACUAAAGUGGAUCCUUAAAAAUCCAAUUUUAUUUGUCAAGUUAAGUAAAAUUACCUGCACUAGAGUUCUUUCUACCCUAGUUCAAUCACUGGUCCUGCACUAGCCAAUUUCUUAACAAAAACCCAUCAUCUUUAGUGGAAUGCUACAUGUAAGUCAGUGGCCAAGUCUCCAUAACCGCGGAGGUACGGCGAUCCGAAUCGAUUAUACUCAGCUGAGGAUCUCCAAUCACACGACAUAUGUAGCACUUAACCCUUGCAUAUGUCAACCCGCCACCGGGGUUCUUAAGACCGGAUCAGGUUCACGCAAACCGAGAGCACAGAUACACCACCGUCCAGCCUCUUGCCACGGAGGGUACACGCUACUCUCGCCACCGCUCCACUCCCAUUUCGUGGUAUCUUAUUCCGGCCUUAGUCUGCCCGAGGCAAGGCUUACCCAUGACGAGGUAUGUGACCAGUUAAAGGGUCCUCGGUCAGCAGGCCUACAUCGAGACGGUCCUUAAUCGACUCGGACGGAGACACUACACCGAGACUCUCUUUCUCGUGCAAGUCACCCGCCCGGUCUCAGCUUAAUCUUUUUAACCCAAAAACUUGGUACCUGACAGAGGUACAUCUUUUCCGAUGUUGGACCCAUCAUGGCCAUGAUGGAUCCACCAUCAAAUUUUAUUUUCGAAAACAUCCCACCCACUUUUGCCACAUCAUAUUUUGUAAAAACAAAACAUUUUGUUUUUCUAAAGCAAGACUAAGCAUCAAAAUCUUUUUGUAAAACGGGUGAUCAAGGAAGGUAAUCAAGUUCAAGGAAGGUAAUGCAGGAAUUGUUUUAGCAAUCAACUCCUAUCACCUAAUGCAGCAAUCAAGUGAGAAAGAUUUUAAAAACAUCAAGGAAGGUGGAAAAUGCACCGGGGCUUGCCUUCGUUAACAGGUGAUUCAGGCUCGGAUCCACAAAUGUCGAAGCAGAAACUAUUCCUGGCCUGAGUGUCCAAAGGUGGUUGCACUUGCUCUUCAGUUACUUCUACCUCUUCUUCUCGUUCUAAUCAUAACCAUACGUAUGUAUAAGAAUGGAUGCCAUGGGAUGCUCAUGAGGAUGCAAAGACAACAUAAACUUAUUAGUUAUGUCUUGAAUACAACUUGCCUUCACGGAGUUCCGGGAACUUAGGGUUUCCGGAGUCGGUAAAGGAGUUCAUAGGGCAGGGGGGUGUUUUGGGAUUUAGUGAUCAAACAAGGUCCAAAUCAACUCAAAUUCUACCCAAGGCUUCUAAAUAUUGGUUUAAGUUCACAUAAAAAGUUUGGGAAAUUUUGGACUUAUUAUUUAUUUUCUAAAAAUCCAGAACCAAUGGUUUACGCUAUUUUAAAUACCCUAAAAUUCUUUGUUCAAACUAAAAAUCAUAAAACUAUUUUUAUUAAAUACUAUGGAAAAUAACAAGCCUAGGAAAUUUGGUCUCAUAUUUUUAGGAUUUUUCUAUCUUUUUCUAGAAUUGUUUUAACUCUGGGAUAAAAAGAAAAGGGAAAACUUGUAACAAUUCUGGGCUGAAUUCGGCCCAAGCAGCCCAGUACAGAGAGGACAGCGCGCUCGCGCCUGCGCGCGCUCUGUUAGUUUUGCGGAUAGGCCCUCGGCGUUCUGGCUAAUCUGAAAUGAGCCUAAACACUAUUUUCAGGAGUCGCUGACACUUCGCAGAAAGGCCCUCCGGUUUCUGUUUCUUCCCCGCGAUUACCCCUGACCACGCCGCGUUGUUCGUUCAUCACGGACAAGGUUUGUACCGGCCAUGAUCGGCGACGAUUGUUCAAACUAACUGUCGGAGAGGCUUUACGGACCUAAGGUGACCUAAGAACGGUCCUCAAUUUCGGAUGGCGCUCCAAGAAAAUGUUCUGCCCACGCUCAGGGCGGAAACCGGGGCGUUGAGCUCACGUUCCCGUACAACCAUGGCCGAACUGAGCAAACGGACGUCACCGAGAGCUUCACAAGCAUGGAGAGAUUCGGAAACAACACAUGAAUUGAAUGGCGACUCACCAGAACAGGCUGGCCACGGGAGGGCUAUUCCUCACGGUGCGGCGGACGGAAUUGGGGAAAAAUGGUGCCGUGGCGUCCACGAGUGAAAUUAAGGGAUGGGAUUUUGGCUACACGUCGUAAAGGACCCCUGAUUCCCCGUGUACAACCAAUUUGGAGAGUGGGAGAGGAGACACGGCGAAUUUUGGAUUGCGAUGGGUGUGCUGGUAAAGAGGAAAACACCUCGCCGUGGACCACCGUGCUAUUUAUAGCCACGGCGACCCAACAGUCGACCUCCGGCCACGGAUAACAUCGCAAGCGCAUGCAUAACACGUUGGUAGGAGGCACAGCGAGGAAAUCACGGCAUGUGUGACAGCGCGGCGAGAGCUCCCUGAGUCACGGUGGUCGCCGGUGAGUAACUCCGGCUGGGCCCGGGAGAGGGUGCCACGUAUGAGUCAUCCUUUUCUCGGCGUUAUCCAUCCCUCACCGUGCAUGAAUCCGGGCGGCGGCGGCACGAAUUUUGACGCGGGGAGGUCACCGGCGGUGGAGGUUUGUCACGCUGGCGAUCAAAUCUGUUCGGGUUACUGUACCAUCAGAACACCCAUAUCAGAGCACCUGACAGCGUGUUUUGCAGGGUUAUAUACUCCCAAUUUUGUGCAGCAACUCGAUUGCCUUUCUCAAACAAAAUUGUAGAGCAAUGUACCAUCUACAAUUCGACUAUAGGACUUGAACACAUUUGAGCACUGGAUCAUGCUCGAAUUUGAGCUGAAAGUUGAUGUCAGUCAUCUGCUAUUCUGAAUUUCAGAUCAAACAGCCUAACAGCCAGUUCUUGAUUGGGUUUUUCUCUAAAUUUCUCAUAACAACUAAGCUCACACUCUUUAGCAAAGUUGUUCUCCUAUAAUUGGUCUUCAACUUUGAUGUGGCGACCUAGGGCAAAAACCCUUUUGUUUAGAAGUUACAAGGUCUCAAAGAUGGGCACAAUACACUGAAUUUCAGACUUAAUCAAAAGAGUUCAAAUAGGGCUCUUUUGCAAAUAAGUCCAAAACUCAGGGUUUGGCUUUCAAGUCCACAUAUUUGUGAACCCAAGGACUUAAGAAACCUAUUUGGCUUGGUUU